UUCCCGGGUCUUGUACACACCGCCCGUCACACCACGAAAGUCGGCAAUACCCGAAGCCGGUGGCCUAACCCGCAAGGGAGGGAGCCGUCGAAGGUAGGGUUGAUGAUUGGGGUG
rnacentral:rRNA from 1 species